UACGAAGGGGGCUAGCGUUGCUCGGAAUGACUGGGCGUAAAGGGCGCGUAGGCGGCUUGCACCGUCAGAUGUGAAAUUCCUGGGCUUAACCUGGGGGCUGCAUUUGAUACGUGUGGGCUUGAGUGCGGAAGAGGGUCGUGGAAUUCCCAGUGUAGAGGUGAAAUUCGUAGAUAUUCGCAAGAACACCAGUGGCGAAGGCGGCUUACUGGACCGGUUCUGACGCUGAGGCGCGAAAGCGUGGGGAGCAAACAGG
rnacentral:rRNA from 1 species